UGCAAGGUAGAGUGGUGAAGCUAUUCACCAACCAUUUCCGAGUGACCUCUCGCCCUCAACUCCUCACGUAUAAGUACAACAUUGAUUACAUGCCAGAGGUUGAAGAUGGAAAAGUUCGUACAGAUUUGCUCUGCCAGCAUAAACAUGUAAUUGGAGAGUGUCCCACAUUAGAUGGGAACUCUUUAUUACUGCCUCAUAAACUACAAAAGCAGGAAUUUUGAAGAUGAUGGAUUUGAAGCAAGUUGGUCGCAACUAUUACAACGAGAAUGAGGCCACGGAGUUCCUCAAUCACCAGACAUUUUAAGCUGAAGAGCGUGGAUGUAAAGCUGCUUGGCCAGCAUCAUCUUAGGAGUCCUCGACUUUAUUCUUGCUUCCCAAUUUCAAAAUUUACGACAAAGCUCUCGGAAUCAGGACAGUGGGAUACUGCAAGAGUUUCAAGACCGCUUUCUUGGGGAAGGAAUACUCGUUUCCUCAAAUAUUGCUGGGACCACUGGAUAUCCACCUGGCCAUUCCUCACAGAAGAUACAAAAUUAACUCCAAUUUAUCCCCCAAAUUAACUAAAAAUAGACCUAAAGGUAUAACAAUAGAACCUAUCGAGUGGAUACUAUUAAUUGGGAGGAGACUCCCAGAAGUACGUUUAAGAAAUCAGGUGGUGAGGAAAUCACCUUUGUAGACUACCAGAAGGAGGUCUAACAGAUGAAAUGCAUAAAGACUACAGAGUGAAGAGAGACAUGGCUAUGCAUACAAGGUUGGAUCCAGAAAAAAAGGCAGCAUGAGUUACGAA